GGGCCCGUAGCUCAGUCUGGUAGAGCAACCGGCUCUUAACCGGUUGGUCGCGGGUUCAAAUCCCGUCGGGCCCA
rnacentral:tRNA from 1 species